UACGUAGGGCGCAAGCGUUGUCCGGAAUUAUUGGGCGUAAAGAGCUCGUAGGCGGUUUGUCGCGUCUGCCGUGAAAGUCCGGGGCUCAACUCCGGAUCUGCGGUGGGUACGGGCAGACUAGAGUGAUGUAGGGGAGACUGGAAUUCCUGGUGUAGCGGUGGAAUGCGCAGAUAUCAGGAGGAACACCGAUGGCGAAGGCAGGUCACUGGGCCGCAACUGACGCUGAGGAGCGAAAGCAUGGGGGAGCGAACAGG
rnacentral:rRNA from 1 species